rnacentral:rRNA from 2 species
UCGCGAAAACUUCGCAAUGGGGGCAACCCCGACGAGGGAAUUCCAAGUGCUAGCACUUUGUGUUAGCUGUUCUUCUGUCUAAAAAACAGGAGGAGUAAGGGGCGGGUAAGACGGGUGCCAGCCGCCGCGGUAAUACCCGCGCCCCAAGUGGUGGUCGAUAUUAUUGAGCCUAAAACGUCCGUAGCCGGUCUUCUAAAUCCUUGGGUAAAUCGGGCAGCUUAACUGUCCGAAGUCCGGGGAGACUGGGAGACUUGGGACCGGGAGAGGUCAGAGGUACUUCUGGGGUAGGGGUAAAAUCCUGUAAUCCUGGAAGGACCACCGGUGGCGAAGGCGUCUGACUAGAACGGAUCCGACGGUGAGGGACGAAGCCCUGGGGCGCAAACGGG